rnacentral:rRNA from 1 species
UUACGGUCAUAUCACGUUGAAACAUUGAUUCUCGUACGAUCACCAAAGUUAAGCAACGUCGACCCUGGUCAGUACCUAGAUGGGUGACUGAUUGGGAAUACCAGGUGCUGUAAG